AGUGUACCUUAAGGACUUGUUUCAUGAUUACUGUAGAAGCAGAUGAUCAUGACCAGUUUCCCUGCCUUACCAGUCAGGAGAUACUUAAGUUAGCUGUAUGUCAGCAUCGUGUUCAAGUGCAUCAGUGCCUCUCAGGGGUCCUAUGGCGUGGGCUACUGGCUUGUCUUCUGGUGGAGAGCUGGAUCAGGACCAAGGCCUUUUCCAGAAUCAUAUCUAUUCUCAAUUCUGGGACCCAAUAUAUCUGGAUGAAGAGGAAAAACAA